CAAUUGGCUCGAAUCGGAGGAAAGGAUGUGAGGGACUGCGUAUAUAAAGUCCUUGACAGGCUCUUCAGUAAUCGUCUCAUGUCCCAUUUCAACAUGAAGGGAAAGGGGGACAAGGUGGCCCUUGAGACCUCCAACAUUUACAGAGCAAUGAAAGCUGCAGUAAUGAAAUGGAGCAAGGAUGCUACAGAAGAAAAUAUUAAAAAUCAU